GCUGAGUACAAUGGUGCAUACUUGUAGUCCCAACUACUCUGGAGCCGGAGGUAGGAGGAUGGCUUGAGUCCAGGAGUUCCAGGUUGUAGUGCACUAUGCUGAUAAGUAUUUUCUCUAAGUUGAGCAUCAAUAUGGUGAUUUCUUGAGAGCUUGGGAUCACCAGUUUGCCUGAGGAGGGGUUAACCACCCCAGUUAGGAAACAGAGCAGGUCAAAACUCCAGUGCUGAUAAGUAGUGGGAUGAUGCCUGUGACUAGCCAUUGCACUCCAGCCUAGGCUACCUAGAGAGACCCCCAUGUCUU
ensembl:misc_RNA Metazoa_SRP Metazoan signal recognition particle RNA